rnacentral:rRNA from 1 species
GACAGAGGGGGCAAGCGUUGCUCGGAAUUACUGGGCGUAAAGGGCGCGUAGGCGGGAUGGCAAGUCGGUCGUGAAAUCCCUCGGCUCAACUGAGGAGCGUCGAUCGAAACUGCCGUUCUUGAGGGUUGCAGAGGAGACUGGAAUUCCCGGUGUAGCGGUGAAAUGCGUAGAUAUCGAGAGGAACACCAGUGGCGAAGGCGAGUCUCUGGACGACUCCUGACACUGAGGCACGAAAGCUGGGGGAGCAAACAGG